UGGUUCUGGCAUCGAUGGAGAACGCAGCGAAAUGCGAUAAGUAAUGCGAAUUGCAGAAUUCCAGUGAGUCAUCGAAUCUUUGAGCGCACAUUGCGCCCUUUGGUAUUCCGAAGGGCAUGCCUGUUCGAGCGUCAUUAUCACCCCUCAAGCCCUGUGCUUGGUGUUGGACGGCAUGGUUGAAUCCUGGUUUCACCCCUCCUAAAGACAAUGACGGCGGCUUGCGGUUCCCCCGGUGCACUGAGCUUUUCACGAGCACGUACCGGAUCCGGGUGCCCAGGCCACGGUCUUCUCCCUUCACGGGAAAUUUUUAAUGAAGUUGACCUCGGAUCAGGUAGGAAUACGCGCUGA
rnacentral:misc_RNA from 1 species